rnacentral:rRNA from 1 species
GUGGGGAAUAUUGCACAAUGGGCGCAAGUCUGAUGCAGCCAUGCCGCGUGUAUGAAGAAGGCCUUCGGGUUGUAAAGUACUUUCAGCGAGGAGGAAGGCGGUGAGGUUAAUAACCUCAUCGAUUGACGUUACUCGCAGAAGAAGCACCGGCUAACUCCGUGCCAGCAGCCGCGGUAAUACGGAGGGUGCAAGCGUUAAUCGGAAUUACUGGGCGUAAAGCGCACGCAGGCGGUCUGUUAAGUCAGAUGUGAAAUCCCCGGGCUCAACCUGGGAACUGCAUUUGAAACUGGCAGGCUUGAGUCUUGUAGAGGGGGGUAGAAUUCCAGGUGUAGCGGUGAAAUGCGUAGAGAUCUGGAGGAAUACCGGUGGCGAAGGCGGCCCCCUGGACAAAGACUGACGCUCAGGUGCGAAAGCGUGGGGAGCAAACAGGAUUAGAUACCCUUGUAGUCC